AUGGCCAAGUCCGGUGCCCGUAAGGACGCCGCGCAAGUCCGGCCAUCGGCCACCUCGCCGCCGCCGCAGCACUCCCCCGGCGCCACAGCAAGCCGCUCUCCACAGCUUCUCUUCUACCCUGGCGCCCCGACAAGAUCCUCGGCCACACCUGUACCCGCCUCUCAUGGAAUCCUCCUCAGCCAACCCUACAUGGUAUAA
rnacentral:rRNA from 1 species